rnacentral:misc_RNA from 1 species
UGUUAGCGUAUCUAUUUUAUGUUAGGGUUUUAUUGGUGAUGUUCAUUAUCCAUUUAUAUAUGGAAAUGGCUUGCUCCUUGUUCUCGAGCUGUUGACGAUUUUGAAGAUGGAUUACUCAUAUGUUGAGUUUUGAUGCUAUUGCUUGUUCAAUUUCANNCGGUAAGAUUGCCCAUGCCACCUUGAAAGGACCGAGUGUUGUUAAGGAGAUAUGUAAGGGGG